rnacentral:lncRNA from 1 species
GAGGCAGGCGGGCGGCGGCGGGGCCGCGGGGCGAGGCGAGCGCCGGGCGGCCGCGGCAGAGGAGCCGCAGCCGCAGCGGGGCCGGGCCGGGCCGGGCGCGCACCAGUGGCGGCGGCAGCGGCAGCGGCAGCGGCGGCAGCAGCAGCAUCUUUCUCCCAGAGCCGGUGCAGGUUUCCCACACUUGGAACGCAGACCAAGCGCCGCCCAGCAGGCAGGUCCAGUGGCAGAGACCCUGUGUAUUGGAAAGGGAAAAUGAGGUAGGAUCUCCACCCUGGGGGUGAGGGGUGGGGACAGGGGAGGGCAGCUCAUCAUGAGACCACCAGAUUUGAGGCUCAGAAUAGCAAUCCACUGUCCCACCGAGGCACAGGUUCAUUCCUAAUUCUGCAGCCAGGCCAGACGACUCACUGUUCCUCAUCACAGCGCCUUGCCUCUGCUCCGCCAUCCUACCAGAGACCAACACCCUCUCAUUAGCUCUGGCCCCUGGCUCAAAGGAGCUCCCUUCAUAACAGCUUUUGUCCCCACUGCAUAGCACUUAAGAGGAUUAUUGUUCCCCC